UACGUAGGGUGCAAGCGUUAAUCGGAAUUACUGGGCGUAAAGCGUGCGCAGGCGGUGAUGUAAGACAGGUGUGAAAUCCUCGGGCUUAACCUGGGAACUGCAUUUGUGACUGCAUCGCUGGAGUGCGGCAGGGGGGGAUGGAAUUCCGCGUGUAGCAGUGAAAUGCGUAGAUAUGCGGAGGAACACCGAUGGCGAAGGCAAUCCCCUGGGCCUGCACUGACGCUCAUGCACGAAAGCGUGGGGAGCAAACAGG
rnacentral:rRNA from 1 species